rnacentral:rRNA from 1 species
GGGAAACUGGGUCUAAUACCGGAUAUGACACCUCCUCGCAUGGGGUGGGUGUGGAAAGUUUUUCGGUUGGGGAUGGACUCGCGGCCUAUCAGCUUGUUGGUGGGGUAAUGGCCUACCAAGGCGACGACGGGUAGCCGGCCUGAGAGGGCGACCGGCCACACUGGGACUGAGACACGGCCCAGACUCCUACGGGAGGCAGCAGUGGGGAAUAUUGCGCAAUGGGCGAAAGCCUGACGCAGCGACGCCGCGUGGGGGAUGACGGCCUUCGGGUUGUAAACCUCUUUCAGCAGGGACGAAGUUGACGUGUACCUGCAGAAGAAGCGCCGGCUAACUACGUGCCAGCAGCCGCGGUAAUACGUAGGGCGCAAGCGUUGUCCGGAAUUAUUGGGCGUAAAGAGCUCGUAGGUGGCUUGUCACGUCGGGUGUGAAAGCUUGGGGCUUAACUCCAGGUCUGCAUUCGAUACGGGCUGGCUAGAGGUAGGUAGGGGAGAACGGAAUUCCUGGUGUAGCGGUGAAAUGCGCAGAUAUCAGGAGGAACACCGGUGGCGAAGGCGGUUCUCUGGGCCUUACCUGACGCUGAGGAGCGAAAGCGUGGGGAGCGAACAGGAUUAGAUACCCUGGUAGUCCACGCUGUAAACGUUGGGCGCUAGGUGUGGGGACCUUCCACGGUUUCCGCGCCGUAGCUAACGCAUUAAACGCCCCGCCUGGGGAGUACGGCCGCAAGGCUAAAACUCAAAGGAAUUGACGGGGGCCCACACAAGCGGCGGAGCAUGUUGCUUAAUUCGACGCAACGCGAAGAACCUUACCAAGGCUUGACAUUGGCCGGAAACACUCAGAGAUGGGUGCCUCUUCGGAUCGGGUGACAGGUGGUGCAUGGCUGUCGUCAGCUCGUGUCGUGAGAUGGGUUAAGUCCCGCAACGAGCGCAACCCUUGUUCAAUGUUGCCAGCACGCUCCUUCGGGGGUGGUGGGACUCAUUGGAGACUGCCGGGGUCAACUCGGAGGAAGGUGGGGAUGACGUCAAGUCAUCAUGCCCCUUAUGUCUUGGGCUGCAAACAUGCUACAAUGGCCGGUACAGAGGGCUGCGAUACCGCAAGGUGGAGCGAAUCCCUAAAAGCCGGUCUCAGUUCGGAUUGGGGUCUGCGACUCGACCCCAUGAAGUCGGAGUCGCUAGUAAUCGCAGAUCAGCGACGCUGCGGUGAAUACGUUCCCGGGCCUUGUACACACCGCCCGUCACGUCACGAAAGUCGGCAACACCCGAGGCCCGUGGCCCAACCAGCUUGCUGGGGGGAGCGGUCGAAGGUGGGGCUGGCGAUUGGGACGAAGUCGUAACAAGGUA